rnacentral:rRNA from 1 species
AUUGAACGCUGGCGGCAGGCCUAACACAUGCAAGUCGAGCGGAUGAAGGGAGCUGGCUCCUGGAUUCAGCGGCGGACGGGUGAGUAAUGCCUAGGAAUCUGCCUGGUGGUGGGGGAUAACGUCCGGAAACGGGCGCUAAUACCGAAUACGUCCUGAGGGAGAAAGUGGGGGAUCUUCGGACCUCCCGCUAUCAGAUGAGCCUAGGUCGGAUUAGCUAGUUGGUGGGGUAAAGGCCUACCAAGGCGACGAUCCGUAACUGGUCCGAGAGGAUGAUCAGUCACACUGGAACUGAGACACGGUCCAGACUCCUACGGGAGGCAGCAGUGGGGAAUAUUGGACAAUGGGCGAAAGCCUGAUCCAGCCAUGCCGCGUGUGUGAAGAAGGUCUUCGGAUUGUAAAGCACUUUAAGUUGGGAGGAAGGGCAGUAAGUUAAUACCUUGCUGUUUUGACGUUACCAACAGAAUAAGCACCGGCUAACUUCGUG